rnacentral:rRNA from 1 species
GAUGAACGCUGGCGGCGUGCCUAAUACAUGCAAGUCGAGCGAACAGACGAGGAGCUUGCUCCUCUGACGUUAGCGGCGGACGGGUGAGUAACACGUGGAUAACCUACCUAUAAGACUGGGAUAACUUCGGGAAACCGGAGCUAAUACCGGAUAAUAUAUUGAACCGCAUGGUUCAAUAGUGAAAGACGGUUUUGCUGUCACUUAUAGAUGGAUCCGCGCCGCAUUAGCUAGUUGGUAAGGUAACGGCUUAUCAAGGCGACGAUGCGUAGCCGACCUGAGAGGGUGAUCGGCCACACUGGAGCUGAGACACGGUCCAGACUCCUACGGGAGGCAGCAGUAGGGAAUCUUCCGCAACGGGCGAAAGCCUGACGGAGCAACGCCGCGUGAGUGAUGAAGGUCUUCGGAUCGUAAAACUCUGUUAUUAGGGAAGAACAAAUGUGUAAGUAACUAUGCACGUAUUGACGGUACCUAAUCAGAAAGCAACGGCUAACUACGUG